rnacentral:rRNA from 1 species
UGAACGCUGGCGGCGUGCCUAAUACAUGCAAGUCGUACGUAACUCCUUUAUCACCGAGUGCUUGCACUCACCGAUAAAGAGUUGAGUGGCGAACGGGUGAGUAACACGUGGGCAACCUGCCCAAAAGAGGGGGAUAACACUUGGAAACAGGUGCUAAUACCGCAUAACCAUAGUUACCGCAUGGUAACUAUGUAAAAGGUGGCUAUGCUACCGCUUUUGGAUGGCCCCGCGGCGCAUUAGCUAGUUGGUGGGGUAAAGGCUUACCAAGGCAAUGAUGCGUAGCCGAACUGAGAGGUUGAUCGGCCACAUUGGGACUGAGACACGGCCCAAACUCCUACGGGAGGCAGCAGUAGGGAAUCUUCCACAAUGGGCGAAAGCCUGAUGGAGCAACGCCGCGUGGGUGAAGAAGGUCUUCGGAUCGUAAAACCCUGUUGUUAGAGAAGAAAGUGCGUGAGAGUAACUGUUCACGUUUCGACGGUAUCUAACCAGAAAGCCACGGCUAACUACGUGCCAGCAGCCGCGGUAAUACGUAGGUGGCAAGCGUUAUCCGGAUUUAUUGGGCGUAAAGGGAACGCAGGCGGUCUUUUAAGUCUGAUGUGAAAGCCUUCGGCUUAACCGGAGUAGUGCAUUGGAAACUGGGAGACUUGAGUGCAGAAGAGGAGAGUGGAACUCCAUGUGUAGCGGUGAAAUGCGUAGAUAUAUGGAAGAACACCAGUGGCGAAAGCGGCUCUCUGGUCUGUAACUGACGCUGAGGUUCGAAAGCGUGGGUAGCAAACAGG